GGAAUCUUCCACAAUGGGCGCAAGCCUGAUGGAGCAACACCGCGUGAGUGAUGAAGGUUUUCGGAUCGUAAAACUCUGUUGUUAGAGAAGAACACGAGUGAGAGUAACUGUUCAUUCGAUGACGGUAUCUAACCAGCAAGUCGCGGCUAACUACGUGCCCG
rnacentral:rRNA from 1 species